rnacentral:lncRNA from 1 species
UUAAGGCAGAAAAUUGUGCUAUUUUUGUUUUUUAGAAAAAUGCCAAGUAGUUCUUAAAAUAAAUGAACAUCAUGAAAUAUGAAAAAAAAAUUAAAAGCUUAAUAAAAUGAUGUAAAAUGUUUCUUUUGGUCACUUUGCAAGCCAGGGACCCCCCAGUCGGUGACACCAUGCCUGGGCUUCGCUUGGCCAUGCUACCUGCUUCAGGAGACAGCCCACACAUUUGGCCCACCCCAGUCGAGUCUGGCUUGUGCACUGGUUCCUGAGUUCUCUUCUAGCAUCCAAGAAUGAGGAUGCUGACAAUCAAAGAGUAUGCAAGCCCUCAAAACCAGAAGCUGUGGCCUCAGAGACAGAGAUCAUCAAAAGAGAAACAAAGGAGGCAGGAAGAAAUGCUACAUUUUCUCCCUCAGGCAACAGAGGGAGGAGGAGCCACCAGAGGAGAUGCUGUUAAAUCAAGCAGGAUGAAGACAGUUGUUAAUGGAGUGUCAGAAAAGGAAUUAAAAAUGAAGAUGAUAAAUGAUUAAGUUUAAGUGAGCAUUUAGGAUCUAAAAUGAAAUGCGACUGAUACAAAAUGAGGAAAGCCAGAGAGUAAGUAUGGCAUUAAUAUUCUGAUGAAUGUUGUCAACUUGUGUUAAAUAGCAGUAUCACAUCCUCAAGAGAGGGAAACCUGAGCAAGCUGUGGGACUUUGCUCAACACUGAGGUUGCUCUUCUUGGUUUGUGUUGACUCAUUAGUUAAUCUCAGCGUUGGUGUCCAGAUUUUGGACCUCCAUGCUCUAGAGAAACUUGAAGCUGAGAGUCCCACAAGGACAUAAGUGGGGAGAAAUAGAUACAUGAAAAAUGGUCAAAUGUGCUGGUAUUUAAACAUCAAAGCCAUUAUGGAACAAGGACUGGAUGUGAAAAGGCUUAUUUUCUAAUACCUGGCCUUUCCAUCUUCCAGCCAUGCACUUUAAUCCCUUUAGGCUUCCUUAUCUAUGAAACAGAUAAUAUCUCUUUAAGUGAUUCUUGAAGGAAUUAAAUGAGAUACUAUGAAAAGAGCUUUGUAAACUCUCAAGCUCACUGUGCAAAUGGGAGAUACUGUUGUUUUUGGAAAGCCAUGCUUUGAUAAUGAAUACCUUUAGUACUGAAGAAUUCUCCCAGACAGUUGUGGAGUUUGUGCACUGCACAAAGGGUUGCAGCC